AUGGAAAUAAGGGUGGUUUUGCAGAAGAGGAGACACUUGAGCAGAGCCUUAAAGCUUAGAAGGAAUCAGCCAGACAGAAGAAACAAAGAGGCAACACCCAAACUCAAGGUCUUUCAAGUAGUCCCAGCAAACGGCCAAUGCACGUACUGUGAGUGGCUGGAGCUCCAAAGUGAAAGAAUGGUGGCUGCAAGCAUGGAGAGUUUCUCCAGGAUCUUGAACUUGACUGUUGAGAGAAAACAACUUUGGGCUAUAUGGGUCUCCUCCUGUACUAAUUCUCAGGAGGUCAAAGACUCUCAGAGCAGCACCAAGUCAGGAAAGGGCCUUCUCCAUCACUGACUAUAAAGAGAGAGCAAUGGCAAUGAACAUGAAGGGUAAGAGAGGUUCUGAGCAAUCUUCCAACCAAUUUCAUUAAAUCAUUAAGGUGUAAACAACAGUUUGUCUCAUCAGCCUUUUUUUGCCAAAGGCCUUCACUGUUUUUCUCUUUUAGUUAUCCUUGCAAAGGCAGAUUUAUCGCUGAACUUCAGCAAGGGCUGGCAGUUUUCCAACACAAGGAAGCACUGUCCAAAGUCAGUCUAAUUUUAAAAAGAUUUCAUCUUACUCAAACAAAUUUGACACAUCCUUACUAAAACGCUUUCUACAUAUUUAACUGUUGAGGUUUAAAAGAAGAGAUAACAAGGAGCCCAUGAAACCAUCCCCGUUGUCAAAGAAGCUUGUGAUCUUCAGAGAAAGACAAAACUUACCAACAUAAAACAAUUAGAAACAAAACCAUCCAAAACAGUGCAACCCUCCCCCCCCUAAAAUCAAGUUAACUGGGAAAAAGUGAACAUGUGUUUUACUUCUGCUCAUUCCUGAUCCCUAUCAAAAUGCAAGUGAAUACAAACAGGAGAAAGAGAACAAUAAACAUAAAUAUGAACAUUUUUUCGAAGAUGAAAAGUAGGUAAGUUAGCAGAACUGAGAAAGUGAAUCCCAUGGCCAUAAAAAGAGAUGCCUUUUCUGCCUUCACACAUACACACCCUGGGAAGGCUCAGGGAUUAGAGGUACCAGGUGGCACACGAGGCUAGGGAUAAGGAGGGGUUGCAAACAAGAACUUGAUACAAAUUCUGUUUAUGAAGAGGCAACAGACCACCAAAUCUCUAGUCACAUCCCGGGCAGCCAGUAGACGAUUACACCUGUACCCAGGCAGGAGAAGGUAUAUCUAUUCUGUGAAGAAGCUGGACGGGCUCCAGACUGGGGGAACCUCAGGAACAAUAAAAGGCAGAGAGAGGCACUGUACUGAAAACAGAAGCCCUAAAAGGAAGUCUGCAUCCUGAAGGAUGGGAUCUCAGCUCUGCUCCCAGAAUGCUGGCAGCCCCACCCCCAACCCCCAAAUAGAAGGUUGGAAGAUUCUUUCCUGCAGAAACCAAAUGAUUCCACAGAAAAGUUCAAUAGAUGCAGACUUUUGAAGAUUCCCCAUCAAACCAGGUGACACAACUCACACAAUGAACUCGGAAGGAUGGCCUCCUUGUUCCUCAAAGCCAGCAAAGAGGGCUCCCCUGCCUUCUGCCAAGGACAAUGGUUUCAGAACAGACAUAUUGGUUACAUCCAGUGUUGCUGUCUACAGCAUCCUAUUCUAGGCCCUUCUGUUUCUAGUCGGUAACUGGAACGAACACACCCAAUACCACACACACGUAAGUCCACAAGUUGUUGGAGACCAGGGAGACUGUGAAACCCAGUACAUUCACUGAAUGACUAUGAACGUUCAAGGUCAUUGCUAUCUGAGGCAAGCCUGGCACUGCCUCCCCACCGAGGCCUACAGCAGGGAGGGGAAUGUGAACAGCAGCAUGAGGGGGCACACAGUGAAACUUGUUUCACUACGGACAUGGACAUGACAAUCUAGGAGGAACGCUGCCAUGAAGUGAAAGUCACUACAGGAGUACUCUGCUGUUAGAAUAUAUUCAUGAGGGUUGAUGUAGAAAUCAAGUUUUCAUAAGCCAUAUUUCCCCCAUGGUUUACACUAUUACUUCGGGGGUCCUUAUCUUUUAUUCAAUUCAAUUUACCUUGGCAUGGCUUCUUAACACUGUUUCUGUUCUACAGCUGUAAAAAAAAAAAAAAAAAAA